AUUAUGGAGAGUUUGAUCCUGGCUCAGAGUGAACGCUGGCGGCGUGCUUAACACAUGCAAGUCGAACGAUGAAGAAGAGCUUGCUUUUCUGAU
rnacentral:rRNA from 1 species